UUUGGUUAAGUUAGAAAGGGCGCACGGUGGAUGCCUUGACACUAGGAGUCGAUGAAGGACGGGACUAACGCCGAUAUGCUUCGGGGAGCUGUAAGUAAGCUUUGAUCCGAAGAUUUCCGAAUGGGGAAACCCACCAUACGUAAUGGUAUGGUAUCCUUAUCUGAAUACAUAGGGUAAGGAAGACAGACCCAGGGAACUGAAACAUCUAAGUACCUGGAGGAAGAGAAAGCAAAUGCGAUUUCCUGAGUAGCGGCGAGCGAAACGGAACAUAGCCCAAACCAAGAGGCUUGCCUCUUGGGGUUGUAGGACAUUCUAUACGGAGUUACAAAGGAACGAGGUAGACGAAGCGACCUGGAAAGGUCCGUCGUAGAGGGUAACAACCCCGUAGUCGAAACUUCGUUCUCUCUUGAAUGUAUCCUGAGUACGGCGGAACACGUGAAAUUCCGUCGGAAUCUGGGAGGACCAUCUCCCAAGGCUAAAUACUCCCUAGUGAUCGAUAGUGAACCAGUACCGUGAGGGAAAGGUGAAAAGCACCCCGGAAGGGGAGUGAAAGAGAUCCUGAAACCGUGUGCCUACAAAUAGUCAGAGCCCGUUAACGGGUGAUGGCGUGCCUUUUGUAGAAUGAACCGGCGAGUUACGAUCCCGUGCGAGGUUAAGCUGAAGAGGCGGAGCCGCAGCGAAAGCGAGUCUGAAUAGGGCGUUUAGUACGUGGUCGUAGACCCGAAACCAGGUGAUCUACCCAUGUCCAGGGUGAAGUUCAGGUAACACUGAAUGGAGGCCCGAACCCACGCACGUUGAAAAGUGCGGGGAUGAGGUGUGGGUAGCGGAGAAAUUCCAAUCGAACCUGGAGAUAGCUGGUUCUCCCCGAAAUAGCUUUAGGGCUAGCCUUAAGUGUAAGAGUCUUGGAGGUAGAGCACUGAUUGGACUAGGGGUCCUCAUCGGAUUACCGAAUUCAGUCAAACUCCGAAUGCCAAUGACUUAUCCUUAGGAGUCAGACUGCGAGUGAUAAGAUCCGUAGUCAAAAGGGAAACAGCCCAGACCGCCAGCUAAGGUCCCAAAGUGUGUAUUAAGUGGAAAAGGAUGUGGAGUUGCUUAGACAACUAGGAUGUUGGCUUAGAAGCAGCCACCAUUUAAAGAGUGCGUAAUAGCUCACUAGUCGAGUGACUCUGCGCCGAAAAUGUACCGGGGCUAAAUACACCACCGAAGCUGCGGAUUGAUACCGNNNNNNNNNNNNNNNNNNNNNNNNNNNNNNNNNNNNNNNNNNNNNNNNNNNNNNNNNNNNNNNNNNNNNNNNNNNNNNNNNNNNNNNNNNNNNNNNNNNAAGGCUGAGCUGUGAUGGGGAAGCUCCUUAUGGAGCGAAGUCUUUGAUUCCCCGCUGCCAAGAAAAGCUUCUAGCGAGAUAAAAGGUGCCUGUACCGCAAACCGACACAGGUAGGCGAGGAGAGAAUCCUAAGGUGUGCGAGAGAACUCUGGUUAAGGAACUCGGCAAAAUGACCCCGUAACUUCGGGAGAAGGGGUGCUUUCUUAACGGAAAGCCGCAGUGAAUAGGCCCAAGCGACUGUUUAGCAAAAACACAGCUCUCUGCGAAGCCGUAAGGCGAAGUAUAGGGGGUGACACCUGCCCGGUGCUGGAAGGUUAAGGAGAGGGGUUAGCGUAAGCGAAGCUCUGAACUGAAGCCCCAGUAAACGGCGGCCGUAACUAUAACGGUCCUAAGGUAGCGAAAUUCCUUGUCGGGUAAGUUCCGACCCGCACGAAAGGUGUAACGAUUUGGGCACUGUCUCAACCAGAGACUCGGUGAAAUUAUAGUACCUGUGAAGAUGCAGGUUACCCGCGACAGGACGGAAAGACCCCGUGGAGCUUUACUGUAGCCUGAUAUUGAAUUUUGGUACAGUUUGUACAGGAUAGGCGGGAGCCAUUGAAACCGGAGCGCUAGCUUCGGUGGAGGCGCUGGUGGGAUACCGCCCUGACUGUAUUGAAAUUCUAACCUACGGGUCUUAUCGACCCGGGAGACAGUGUCAGGUGGGCAGUUUGACUGGGGCGGUCGCCUCCUAAAGUGUAACGGAGGCGCCCAAAGGUUCCCUCAGAAUGGUUGGAAAUCAUUCGUAGAGUGCAAAGGCAUAAGGGAGCUUGACUGCGAGACCUACAAGUCGAGCAGGGACGAAAGUCGGGCUUAGUGAUCCGGUGGUUCCGCAUGGAAGGGCCAUCGCUCAACGGAUAAAAGCUACCCCGGGGAUAACAGGCUUAUCUCCCCCAAGAGUCCACAUCGACGGGGAGGUUUGGCACCUCGAUGUCGGCUCAUCGCAUCCUGGGGCUGUAGUCGGUCCCAAGGGUUGGGCUGUUCGCCCAUUAAAGCGGUACGCGAGCUGGGUUCAGAACGUCGUGAGACAGUUCGGUCCCUAUCCGUCGUGGGCGUAGGAAAUUUGAGAGGAGCUGUCCUUAGUACGAGAGGACCGGGAUGGACGCACCGCUGGUGUACCAGUUGUUCUGCCAAGGGCAUAGCUGGGUAGCUAUGUGCGGAAGGGAUAAGUGCUGAAAGCAUCUAAGCAUGAAGCCCCCCUCAAGAUGAGAUUUCCCAUAGCGUAAGCUAGUAAGAUCCCUGAAAGAUGAUCAGGUUGAUAGGUUCGAGGUGGAAGCAUGGUGACAUGUGGAGCUGACGAAUACUAAUAGAUCGAGGACUUAACCAUAUAA
rnacentral:rRNA from 1 species